UUUCGUUUUGUUACGACUAUCCUCGGACCAUGUUACGUACUUUUGCGAAUCGCUAGAACUUCGCUCUUGUGUCAAUCCUAAACUGUUGAACAAAUGGAUCACGAAAUUCUACGAUUGCGCAAGAUAAAAGUGGAAUGCAUGCCCUAUCUUGGUAAAGGCCAAUGUCCCGGUGACGCGGAUCAUUAUCAUCCGAAGGAUUUA
rnacentral:lncRNA from 1 species